UGGGACACUUUGCAUCCGCCUCUCUUGUGGGAGGAGGCGGCCAAGCAGUGUUUUUCUCCAGGCAUGGCAUGAUACGUCAUUUGCUAUGUCGCCCAAUGGAGGAAUGUUUGGUUGUGUCUGCGUGUGCUUCGAACUUGCCUCUGUGCAAAUCCCCUUUCACUUCUGGUCUCAAAUCAGGUAGGAUCACCCGCUGAACUUAA
rnacentral:misc_RNA from 1 species